GUAUGCAACCUAACUUAAUGUGACCAAUCUUGUCUCAUCUCAGAAGCUAAGCAGGGUUGGGCCUGGUUAAUACUUUGAUGGGAGACUGCCUGGGAAUACUAAGUGCUGUAGACU
ensembl:rRNA 5S_rRNA 5S ribosomal RNA